UCGGGAAUUUUGGGCAAUGGGGGAAACCCUGACCCAGCAACGCCGCGUGAAGGAUGAAGUAUUUCGGUAUGUAAACUUCGAAAGAAUAGGAAGAAUAAAUGACGGUACUAUUUAUAAGGUCCGGCUAACUACGUGCCAGCAGCCGCGGUAAUACGUAGGGACCAAGCGUUGUUCGGAUUUACUGGGCGUAAAGGGCGCGUAGGCGGCAUGACAAGUCACUUGUGAAAUCUCUGGGCUUAACCCAGAACGGCCAAGUGAUACUGCUUUGCUAGAGUGCAGAAGGGGCAAUCGGAAUUCUUGGUGUAGCGGUGAAAUGCGUAGAUAUCAAGAGGAACACCUGAGGUGAAGACGGGUUGCUGGGCUGACACUGACGCUGAGGUGCGAAAGCGUGGGGAGCAAACAGGAUUAGAUACCCAGGUAGUCCCUGAGCGGGCUGGCAAGGCGCAU
rnacentral:rRNA from 1 species